AUUACACUGAAUUUUAAACAAGUUAUAGCAAUCAACAAGUGCAUGUGUAUUAUAUGAAAGAAAUAAUCUGUAAAUUAACCUGUUGAAAUACACUGAUGUAACAAAAGGACGUAUGUAAGACAUUAACUAUAACUACACGGACACUUGAAGUCAAAUUAAAAAGAAAAACCUUAGAUUCUUUUUACAGAACCAUUGGAUAGGUGACAUUUCAAGAACCACUAUGCAUUCGAGAAAAAUCAAAUCCAGAACACAUCGUCAAAGCUCAACCGACGUACAUCACACAGGUACAGACCGGAGAGAAGACACAAUGGCCAACCGAAUUGGGCAAUACGUGAUCUACAUUUUGUACUUAGUUUUGAUAUUCAUUUUUUUGUUAUUGUUGCAUGUUUAUAUACGGUAACUUUGUCUAUGUUCAGGAUUAACACAGCGUUGUGUUGUAAAUAUAUUUAAGAAUUAA